AGACGUGGGGGGCUAGCGUUGUCCGGAAUUACUGGGCGUAAAGCGUGUGUAGGCGGUUAUAUCAGUCAAGUGUGAAAUGGCUUGGCUCAACCAAGCAACUGCGCUUGAUACUGUAUGGCUUGAGUACGGGAGAGGAGAGCGGAAUCUCUGGUGUAGCGGUGAAAUGCGUAGAUAUCAGAGAGAACACCGGUGGCGAAGGCGGCUCUCUGGCCCGAUACUGACGCUGAGGCGCGAAAGCUAGGGGAGCGAACGGGAUUAGAAACCCCAGUAGUCC
rnacentral:rRNA from 1 species